CUCCUUCUCCUUCUCUCCGGACCUGCAAACACGAACUGAAUCAAGAAUCGAGGACCCGUUCGCAAUGCUCUGAUCUCUGUGUGAUGGUGAGCGAAGACAAAACAUAUGAUGGUGCGAGACAUUAAUUACCGAAGGUUUGAUCUAUUCUUCAGUUUAUCUGUAUCCAAUCCAGCCAUUAACUUGAGGAAGGUCGCUUGAGGGCAUCCUCUUCGUAUUCUCAUGAUACAUGUGAACGCCACAAUGAUGAAGCACUGGAAAAUCUUCAGGACAGAGUUUGGCUUCUCAAGAGAAGUUUGCCAAGGCAUAGGGGCCUCUCCAUAUUGUGUCAACAGUGUUCUGAAAACAACAUCUGAUGAUCUGAAAAGAGUAGAAGCACUCAAUGAACAUGUGGUUUCGAGUUUCCAUAUUUUGCUGACAGAGAACACACAGUCAGUGUUAACACCUCUGUUCCAGUUUUGAAUUUGAUCCAUUGUAGAGAGCUUGUUGAGAGUGGCAAGCCAGCUGAUGAAUGCGCAUUUAGGUGUGGCCUGAGGAAAGUAGACACCUGGAACCCAUUCACACUUCGGCUUCUCUUCUCUUAAUAGCUUCCAUGUCUCCUAAGUGGAGAAUUUGCAUUUAAACACUGAGCUUCUCUUCCAAUGAAUGAUGUCGGCUACUUCGUCUUCGAUUAUUGCUUAACACUUCAUCCACAGUGGCGUUUCUUCGUAUACCCACAGGUCGAUGAUCCCCAUCGAUCCCCUAGAACAUCAUAAAAUAUUAUAAAUUUCAGUUUGUAAGCUAUGUUUAUUAAUCAAUUAUGGCUCAGUGGUAGGAAA